rnacentral:rRNA from 1 species
GAUGAACGCUGGCGGCGUGCCUAAUACAUGCAAGUCGAGCGAACAGACGAGGAGCUUGCUCCUCUGACGUUAGCGGCGGACGGGUGAGUAACACGUGGAUAACCUACCUAUAAGACUGGGAUAACUUCGGGAAACCGGAGCUAAUACCGGAUAAUAUAUUGAACCGCAUGGUUCAAUAGUGAAAGACGGUUUUGCUGUCACUUAUAGAUGGAUCCGCGCCGCAUUAGCUAGUUGGUAAGGUAACGGCUUACCAAGGCAACGAUGCGUAGCCGACCUGAGAGGGUGAUCGGCCACACUGGAACUGAGACACGGUCCAGACUCCUGCGGGAGGCAGCAGUAGGGAAUCUUCCGCAAUGGGGGGAAACCUGACGGAGCAACGGCGCGUGGGUGGUGGAAGUCUUCGGAUCGUAAAACUCUGUUAUUAGGGAAAAACAAAUUUGUAAGUAACUAUGCACGUCUUGACGGUACCUAAUCAGGAAGCCACGGCUAACUACGUG